AGCAUUUGAACAAUUAUAUUGUAAAAUUUUAGGUGUUGGGUGUAUGGGAUAACUUUGCUGAUCUAGAUAUAGUAGGGAUAUUAUUUACUAGAUUUUUUCUGGCCAUUUAAAAUUAAUAAAAUGUAUAAUUUUAAAAAAUAAAUAUUGAAUAUUGUUUAAUAAAGUAUAACUUAUAAAUUUUUAAUAUUUCAUUUUGGGUUGGCCUCCAUUUUCAUUGGAUUUUUUUUUUUCACCAGAAUGAAUAUUUCGUUGAUGAAAUAAGUUUAUAAGGUCAAGCCCACCAAAAGAACUAGUAACCACAUAAAUUUUAACCCAAGCCCAGAGGUCCAAAUCCAAACCCAAAGGAAUACGAAUCCCUAUACUGACUGGGUUUACCCGACCAUUUUCAUCAGUAAUCUUCCUUCAUUAAUUAUAGCCGCCGACUCUUUACCAGCAACAUUUUAUCAGCAUUGGAAGGAGAAACAGUGAGGCAACUUGGAAAUCUCACAUGCAGGGAGAUACACAUCAACAUUAUAUGGAGUGCAUGAGCACCCACUUG
rnacentral:misc_RNA from 1 species